UGGGGAAUAUUGGACAAUGGGCGCAAGCCUGAUCCAGCAAUGCCGCGUGAGUGAUGAAGGCCUUAGGGUUGUAAAGCUCUUUCGCACGCGACGAUGAUGACGGUAGCGUGAGAAGAAGCCCCGGCUAACUUCGUGCCAGCAGCCGCGGUAAUACGAAGGGGGCUAGCGUUGUUCGGAAUUACUGGGCGUAAAGGGCGCGUAGGCGGCCUGUUUAGUCAGAAGUGAAAGCCCCGGGCUCAACCUGGGAAUAGCUUUUGAUACUGGCAGGCUUGAGUUCCGGAGAGGAUGGUGGAAUUCCCAGUGUAGAGGUGAAAUUCGUAGAUAUUGGGAAGAACACCGGUGGCGAAGGCGGCCAUCUGGACGGACACUGACGCUGAGGCGCGAAAGCGUGGGGACAAACAGGAUUAGAUACCCUGGUAGUCCACGCCGUAAACGAUGAAUGCUAGACGUCGGGGUGCAUGCACUUCGGUGUCGCCGCUAACGCAUUAAGCAUUCCGCCUGGGGAGUACGGCCGCAAGGUUAAAACUCAAAUGAAUUGACGGGGUCAUAGCUGUUUCCU
rnacentral:rRNA from 1 species